GUUUACGGCCAUUCCACCCUGAACAAGCCCGAUCUCAUCUGAUAUCAGAAACUAAGCAGGAUUGGGCCUGGUUAGUACUUGGAUGGGAGACUACCUAGGAAAACCAGGUGCUGCAGACG
rnacentral:rRNA from 1 species